CAAUGGGAUUGGAUCAAAGCCUCACAACUAUUAUCGGUCAGAACUUGAAUCCAGGCCAGUUUUGGCUUCUAAUCUAGCACUCUCCUGGAGGCCACAUGAAAGGAAGCGACGGCCUCUCCUGCAGCUGAGGUUUACAGACUUUUGACACCAAACCCAGCUGGAAUCUUCAAACUUAACACAGUCAAGGGACUUGAGAACGGUGGUGGAUCCCGUACCGGCUGUGUGAUAACAGUCAGAGAGCAGACAAUCCCCAGCUGUGAGGAAGGAAGUGGUCCCUGCGUGUCUCAUGCCCAGAAUGCCCUGGUCCUUGUCAGACACAUCCGGAUCUCGUCUGCUGUACAGUAUACAAAACUCAAUGAUAAACAACGGAGACCUAGGAGGAACUCAGUGGCCCAGGUUGCCUUCAUCCAAUGCCAUCAUGAGACGGCCCAGAGAGGUGAGACCUCAGCAUUCCUCUGCAGUCUGUAAUGGCAAGACGUGCUCAAUCUCCACUGAUUGGGAUCCUAAUGAAGUGAACCCUGAGGCCCCAAACAGGGGUCUAGUCUGAGACUCCUUCCGGAGGUGCCAGGCCAGGAUGGGGAUGGUGGGAGGAAGCGGUGCCCAGCACUGAUAAGCCACUCCCUUCCUCUGUCCCAGACACUUUUCAAUGUCUGCUAUGUCUAUGCACUGGGAAUCCUCAAGGGGAAGACAGAGAAGAGACAGGCAGGGUGGAGGGGCUGCUUCCUGGUGCCUGGGAGCCUCUUUAACCUUCCCCACCUUUCUUCACUUCCUCUCACCGGGGAACUAUCAACACCUUGUAAAGAAACCUCAGCUAUAUAAAUACAAAAUGUAUAUGCAAUAUAUGUGCACAUAUAAAAUAUAUGCACAUGCAUCCAGUAGCUGAGUUAUUGUAUUUUCUCCGUUGGUGUACAGUCUGAUCUGUCUUUCCUUGUGGUCACAGUACUGUACUUAUCCUUCCUUGCUGAUGGGCAUUCAGGUUGCUCCUGAGCUUUUGAUACUGCAAACAAGACCAUCUAGACUCUGGGCGCAUGUGUAAAUGUUUCUUGAGGAUUCAUUCCUAGAAAAGAGAUUGCUGGCUCAAAAUGUCUAUGAAUUUUUCAUUUUGAAAGAUUGUGCCAAGUU